UCGGCCGCACCUGCAUGUGGCAUCCCGCCGCUGGGUCAUCCGGCGCCGCCGCCUCCUCGCCCCAAGCUGCUCUUCCACCUCGCCGGCCAGUCCAACAUGGCCGGCCGAGGCCUCGCGACCUAACUGCUGCCUACGCGUGCUCCGCCUCGCGGCAUCCCAUCGCUGGGUCGUCGCCACGGCGCCGCCUCCUCGCCCCAAGCUGCUCUUCCUCCUCGCCCCUGCACAACCACGCAGUGUUGGCGACUGGCGCAACAAGCCCGAGAAGCCAAUCAAGCCAUCCUCAAGCGAUUGAGAGUCAACUGGGAAUGCUGGGUGGCCAAGUUAAGGCCCCACGAAGACGGCAGCGGGCGCAGUCCCUCAACGUCCAGGGGCCAAGAAGGGUAGGACAGCGUGGAGAUUGGGGAAUCUGGCGCAAAUAUGUGACACGGAGUUCGUCUGCGAGGUCCUCGACGCGAGCGAGGAAAUGCUCUCUGCCUGGAACGCCGAUGGGGACACACCUGGCAACAAGUCCGCCUCUCCCAGGCAUUGCCCUUGGACCCGGAGGCCCCCAAAUUCACCGCUGGACAUGGCAGCCAGCGAGGUUGAUAGUUUGGCUAAAGUUCAUGUUUUGAAUUCAUAAUAUCUCAACUGGUUCAUAUUUUGAGGUGCAAGUUUGCUCGAAUUCAUCAAGAAUGGCUCAGGUUGAAAGUUUGUUCUCUGAGUAAUUGAAGGUGAAUUCAUCAAGAUUUUGUACGGCAAUUAUACAAGCGGCCAAUAUAGGAAAAGCAUGCCCAUGGUUCUUGUGCAAAAUGGAAUCAAUCAAGUUCAAAGUAUUGCAAGCGUGAAUGUUUAAAUGAGAGGCUGAAGUUUGAACUGUUAGCUGUUCUGUAGUCUGAUGAUUCGAACUCCGAAUUUCGGGUUCUUCCCUAAAGUUCAUAUCUCUUUUGUCUCCC